rnacentral:rRNA from 1 species
GUCUAUAGCCAUGCUACCCUAAAUGUGCCUAAAUCCCAGCUGAUCUCGGAAGCUAAGCAGGGUUGGGCCUGGAUAGUACUUGGGUGGGAGACCACCCAGGCAUACCAGGUGCUGUAGGUA